rnacentral:rRNA from 1 species
UACAGAGGGGGCAUGCGUUGUCCGGAUUUACUGGGCGUACAGCGCGCGCAGGCGGUUGCGUAUGUGAGCGGUGACAUCCGCGGGCUCAACCCGCGGCGGCCCGCUUACACAGCGCGACUGGAGGCAGGGAGAGGGAUGUGGAAUACCCGGUGGAGCGGUGAAAUGCGUAGAGAUCGGGUGGAACACCAGCGGCGAAGGCGGCAUCCUGGCCCUGUACUGACGCUGAGGCGCGAUAGCGUGGGGAGCAAACGGG